CCACUCCGGUGCCUCUUCGCUUCCAACGUCGCGGCCGGCCUUUAAUGGAAAGCUACGGCGUGAACUCAUUCCCCAACCAACACUCCUUUCUCUCUCAACGCUUGGCUCGCUCCCCAACUGGACUUUGGAGAGACCUAGAUGAUCGUACAUCCAUUACAUCUGCAUGUGUCUUGUUCUGCUUUUUAUUGGAUCCAAAUGUGAGAGAGUCUUCAGGAAGGAGAUUAGAAGAAGGGAGAAAAUUUAGGCAAUUCAGGCGUGUCUUUUUGUUCGUGUUGACUGCUACGGUGUACGGAUAAGCCACCUACAACAUCCACAUGAAUCGGUUUCCAGGAUAGUUAUUCUUUGGGUAAACAAUUUUGGAGUGAAGAACAUGGUAGAUCGGGGAUGAUCCAGAAACAAAUGUAAGUUCAGGCAAUAGUUUUAUUUCUCAUGGAAACACAAAUGUUUUAUGUUGCAACCAGUUUUGACAAGGC